UGCAAAGAUUUUGCUUAAUGGUUACAUUCGG
rnacentral:piRNA from 1 species